CCUGCAAUGAUGAAUAACUUCAGACUUUCGUUCUUCUGAGUUUGCUGAAGCAAUUUCUUAUAUCUGAGAAGG